rnacentral:rRNA from 1 species
AUGGCGGGCAUCGGGGCCAUGAUUGCCGCUGCACUUUUGAAGGAGGUGGUGCAGCAGAUUGGUUCGCUGGUGGGAGGUCAGAUUAGGCUGCAGAAGAACUUCCACAAGGACCUGAAGGAGAUGAAGGCUACCCUCGAGUCCAUUGAGGCGCUCCUCAAGGACGCUGAGGACGCCAACACCAACAAUUCCAUGCGUUUGUGGCUCAGUCGUCUUAAAGACGCGAUGUAUGGCAUCGCCGACAUGAUUGAUGAUUUUGAAGCAGGAACUGAGGCUGAGUCAACAUGCAAGCUCUCCAUCAAGAAACAUCUAGCAGGUAUGAUGCCUUGUUUCACAAUCGGGCCCAAGUUCACAAUGGCUAACAAGAUGAAGACGAUGAGAGAGGAACUGCAGGGGAUCACAGAUCAAUACCAGAAAUUCAUGUUAGUGCCGGGCACUAAUGCCAAUGAACCGAAUCUGAUACAAAUGCGUGAAACAUCAUCAACCAUUGAGGCAUCAGUCAUUGGGAGGAGCGAAGAGGAAAAUAAAAUAUGGGUUUCUUUAUCUGAAAGCAUAAUAGAAGAGCUCAUUGUCCUUGCUAUACACGGCAUUGGAGGCCUUGGCAAGACGACCUUGGCGAAAAUGAUUUACAAUAAUAAAACAAAAUUUGAAGACUAUGUCCGGGUAUGGAUUUAUGUGUCCGAGACAUUUGAUUUGAACAAAAUUGGCAAUUCUUUAAUAAGUCAACUGUCAGAGAAUGAGAGUCUGUACACUGAAAAGCAUAUGAUACACAGAUCACUUGCAAAGGUACUCACCAAUAAGAAGAUUCUUAUUAUUCUAGAUGAUCUGUGGGCGGAGGAUGAUUCCCAAUUGGAUAGUCUGAUUGCGAUGCUUAAGGCUGGAACGGGUAGCAAGGUGGUUGUUAUAGCAACCACACGCAAUGAGGAGAUUGCAAGGAAAAUUUCGGCCAUUCAUAGUCAAACAAAAAAAUUGACCAUUCCCCCACAUGAGCUAGCAUCACUGACGGAUGAGAUGUGCUGGACUAUAAUUAAGGAAAAAAGUGGGUUUGAAUCUAGAGAUGACAAAGAACAUUUGAAGCAUAUAGGGGAAGCCAUUGCAGCGAAGUGUGGAGGUGUGGCUUUAGCAGCUCAAUCAAUUGGACCCAUUUUGGAAACUAUGACCUAUAAUCAGUGGAAGAAAGUGAGAGACAGUGAUAUCUGGAAAGAAUCUGCUUCUUCUUCAGAUCCAAAAGAUAAAGCUGCAACACUGGUGCUUGCAUCCUUAAGGUUAAGCUAUACUUUUAUGCCUCCAUAUUUGAAGCUCUGCUUUUCCUAUUGGGCAAUCUUUCCAAAAGGAUGCAAGAUAUCUAAAGGUGAUCUAAUUCACCAGUGGAUUUCUCUUUCUUUUAUUGGGGCAACACCAACAUUCACCGCUUGGGAGCUCGGCGAGAUGUACAUUACUCAGCUUUCGAAGCUUUCCUUCCUUGAACAUUCGAAGAUUGUCCGCUAUGGCCGUGUCGAUGUUACAGCGUUCACCAUGCACGACUUGGUGCAUGAUCUAGCAAGGUCGGUGAUGGACGACGAAACUCUUCUCACUGGCAAUGAUGGCAACAGUGGGGGAAACCGCUUCCACUAUGCACUGCUCAGUGAUUGUAGCAAGCUAUUGGAGUGGCGGAGGAUUAGGGCACUCCGUUUUAUGGGCUCGGCUAAAAUUCGACUUGAUGAUGCUGCAUUUGCCUCUGCUAAAUCCCUGCGUGUCUUGGACUUGAGCGAGUGCUUGAUUUAUGAAUUGGCAGAUUCUAUUGGCCGAUUAAAGCAGUUGCGGUAUCUUAGUGCUCCAAGAGUAUUCAAUAUUCCGGAUAGUAUCACUAGGCUGUCAAAACUACUUUAUCUCAGUCUUCGAGAUUCUUAUCUAUCUGCACUGCCAGAGUCAAUCGGAGAAAUGGAGUGUCUGAUGUAUCUUGAUUUGUCAGGCUGUACGAGAAUCAGAGAACUGCCAGAAUCAUUCAGGAAUCUAGAAAAAUUGGUGCAUCUUGAUUUGUCAGAAUGCUUUGCUUUGAAAAAUAUAUCAAAGUUUAUGUGGAGCUUCACGGACCUGCAAUAUCUGAACUUAUCACGUUGUUAUUGUAUUGGAUCGCUACCAGAAUCUCUUGAUGGCCUUACUAGUCUACAAUACUUAAAUCUAAGUCACUGCUUUGGAAAAGGUGAAAAUCUGAUGGACCGUAUCAGUGCCCUUUCCAAUCUGGAGCAUUUGGACUUGUCUUUUAAUGCUGGUAUUACUUCUCUACCCGAAAGUUUUUGUAACCUGAAAAAUCUGCACACACUGGACCUCUCGUACUGCCAAGAGAUUCGGAAGAUACCAGAAAGUAUAGGUAGAAUUGAUAGUUUGAAGACCCUAUAUUUAAUGGGCGUCGAUGGUCUUGUUGAAGAACCUGUACCUCAUCCUAGUACCAGUUUCGUAUCAUUACCAACUUUUCAGGUGCGCAUUGGAGAUGGUGAAUCGAGCAGCAAUCUUAUCUGCUUAAAGGACACGAAUCCUGGGUUGCUGUUUAUAGUUGGGCUUGAAAAUGUGAAGUCUGCAGAAGAGGCUCAGAAUAUAAAGUUGAUGGAAAAAAACAAUCUCAAAGCAUUAUGGUUGUCGUGGAGUGAAGGUGCUGAGAGGUUUGUGGAUGAUAAAGUGUUGUUGGAGAAACUAGUGCCACCCAAAAGUUUAAGCAACUUGGUGAUAACGGGUUAUAAUGGCGUCAGCUUGCCAACAUGGGUCGGCCAACAGAGUUCAGUGACACUAACCUGUAUGGAACAUCUAGAAGAGUUGAGUGCGUCGUACUCCAGUGGCAGGUCUUCUAGGUUGAGCAUAAAUUAUUGCCCCAAGUUGAGGAUGGGGCCACUUCUUCCUAGAGCAGGUUGCAGGUUGGAGAUAAGAAGGAGUGAUAAUGUGCUGUCAUCAUGGGGAGAGUGUACAACAUCAAGCACCGGUGCUUCCUCCUCCUCUGCUUCUCCAGUAUUAACUCCUACAGAUACUCUGAUAGUUGAAUACAGUGAGCUGCCCAUGCAGCAGUGGAGACUGCUUCGCCACCUCUCUGUCCUCGAUCAUUUAGAGAUCACGACUUGUCCUGAUCUGACCGUCUCCCCUGACAUCAUCCCACAUAUUUCCUCUGUUAAGCGUCUGGUGAUAAACAGCUGCAACAUCUCAUCAUUGCCGCAUUGGUUCAUGGACUUAACCGAUCUCGAGCACCUUCGUAUCAGUGGCUGUGAAGGCAUCAGGUCUUUGCCGGAGGGCAUACAACAACUCACCAAGCUCCAAAUACUUCAGAUUGGCGGAUGCCAUUAUUUGAAGAAGUGGAGCGAAUCCGAGGAAAGCAAGAUGAAGCUGGCUCACAUAAAAAAUAAGGAUUUUUACUGA